rnacentral:rRNA from 1 species
UGGGGAAUAUUGGACAAUGGGGGGAACCCUGAUCCAGCCAUGCCGCGUGUGUGAAGAAGGCCUUUUGGUUGUAAAGCACUUUAAGCGAGGAGGAGGCUACCGAGAUUAAUACUCUUGGAUAGUGGACGUUACUCGCAGAAUAAGCACCGGCUAACUCUGUGCCAGCAGCCGCGGUAAUACAGAGGGUGCAAGCGUUAAUCGGAUUUACUGGGCAUAAAGCGCGCGUAGGUGGCCAAUUAAGUAAUAUGUGAAAUCCCCGAGCUUAACUUGGGAAUUGCAUUCGAUACUCGUUAGCUAGAGUAUGGGAGAGGAUGGUAGAAUUCCAGGUGUAGCGGUGAAAUGCGUAGAGAUCUGGAGGAAUACCGAUGGCCAAGGCAGCUAUCUGGCCUAAUACUGACACUGAGGUGCGAAAGCAUGGGGAGCAAACAGG